UAGGGAAUCUUCCGCAAUGGGCGAAAGCCUGACGGAGCAACGCCGCGUGAGUGAUGAAGGUCUUCGGAUCGUAAAAUUCUGUUAUUAGGGAAGAACAAAUGUGUAAGUAACUAUGCACGUCUUGACGGUACCUAAUCAGAAAGCCACGGCUAACUACGUGCCAGCAGCCGCGGUAAUACGUAGGUGGCAAGCGUUAUCCGGAAUUAUUGGGCGUAAAGCGCGCGUAGGCGGUUUUUUAAGUCCGAUGUGAAAGCCAACGGCUCAACCGUGGAGGGUCUUUGGAAACUGGAAAAUUUCAGUGCAGAAGAGGAAAGUGUAAUUCCAUGUGUAGCGGUGAAAUGCGCAGAGAUAUGGAGGAACAACAGUGGCGAAGGCGACUUUCUGGUCUGUAACUGACGCUGAUGUGCGAAAGGGUGGGGAUCAAACAGG
rnacentral:rRNA from 1 species